rnacentral:rRNA from 1 species
CCCUUAGAUGUCCUGGGCCGCACGCGCGCUACACUGAGUGUCUGAGAUACGAGUCUGCCUGGUCCGGCAAGGUCUAGGUAAUCGCUAAAAGACACAUCAUGCUUGGGAUAGAUUAUUGCAAAUAUUAAUCUUGAACGAGGAAUUCCUAGUAGGCGCAAGUCAUCAGCUUGCGUCGAUUACGUCCCUGCCCUUUGUACACACCGCCCGUCGCUCCUACCGAUUGGGUGUGCUGGUGAAAUGUUCGGAUCGGCCGUUUGUCGCGGUUUCCGCGUCAUGUGGCUGAGAAGUUCAUUAAACCCUCCCACCUAGAGGAAGGAGAAGUCGUAACA